rnacentral:rRNA from 1 species
AGCGAACGCUGGCGGCAGGCCUAACACAUGCAAGUCGAACGAACUCUUCGGAGUUAGUGGCGGACGGGUGAGUAACACGUGGGAACGUGCCUUUUGGUUCGGAAUAACUCAGGGAAACUUGUGCUAAUACCGAAUGUGCCCUUCGGGGGAAAGAUUUAUCGCCAUUAGAGCGGCCCGCGUCUGAUUAGCUAGUUGGUGAGGUAACGGCUCACCAAGGCGACGAUCAGUAGCUGGUCUGAGAGGAUGACCAGCCACACUGGGACUGAGACACGGCCCAGACUCCUACGGGAGGCAGCAGUGGGGAAUCUUGCGCAAUGGGCGAAAGCCUGACGCAGCCAUGCCGCGUGAAUGAUGAAGGUCUUAGGAUUGUAAAAUUCUUUCACCGGGGACGAUAAUGACGGUACCCGGAGAAGAAGCCCCGGCUAAGUUCGUG